CUCUCCCUGUCAUUGGAUUAACCCUCAGUGGAUUUAUCUGCAUGUGUGUGCUUCAGUUACUUUCCUGCCUCUGUUGAUCCCACACCUAUGUCUCUGCCGCACAUUUGAGGAUCAGCAUUCUUGUUACCGGUUUGCGUGUGCCUGAUCCCGCCCCUGCAAGCAUUGCCGCCUAAUUGAGGAUCACCUUUCUUGUCUUUUUUGUGUGAAUCUAAUAAAGACUUUCUCUUACCACCGUUCUGCAUCUGGGUCCAGUCCUGUUCAUGAUAGAACAAACUCACCAUCAUCAUGGACCCAGUGGAGGGUGGGAGGACGGAAGCCACCUUUUCAUGGCAGGAGGAGCGAAUCGCCCAGAACACCACUCACCAAGUGGCGCCUUCAAUUCUAACUGAACUCUGCCGCCUUUCCCUCUGACUGUACUAAAGUGGCCUACAUCAUUUCCCACCUCAGAGACAGAGCUAAAGCAUGGGCCAUUGCUGAGCGGGACAAACAAUCUGAUAUAUGCCCCCCCGUAGAGUAAUUCAUGGCAUUUUUCAUCACGUGGCACCUGGCAGAGGUGGGCAGGUCCCUGGUCAACCUUAGGCAGGGGGCGCAGCGAGCGAGCGAUUUCGCAAUCCAGUUCCGUACCCUGGCUGUUGACUCCUAGGGCAUACCUGGCUCCAACUUCACAACCCCAUCAUUAACUGGUCAAGUUGCUCUAUAACUGGCUGGGGGAAGGGCUGCAACCAGUGGUGUCUUUCAUCUGUCUCUGUCUUCUCUCCCUAGGUCUCCAGUGGUUGCUGCAAUGUCUCUCCCAGUUACUGUCAACUUUUCAAUAAGACCAAAGCCACUGCUCUCCUUCCGGAUCGUCCCUAUGACUGCAUGAUAGAGCUUCAUCCCGGAGGCUGACCAUGCAUUCAGGGAGCCUAAACGCUGGUUCACCUCUGCAUACCCCAACCCUCACUGUCAGUUUGUGGUGGAAGUAGAUGCCUUGGACUCCGGGGUGGGGGCCAUCCUGUCUCAAAGGGCAGUCUCGGACCAGAAGCUUCACCCCUGUGCCUUGUAUUCCAGGAACCUGUCACAGGCAGAGAGAAAUUAUAGUGUGGGAGACAGGGAGCUGCUUGCCAUCAAAUCAGCGCUCGAGGAAUGGAGGCACUGGCUGAACCGUUUCUGGUGCUUGGCUGGGGCAUGCUUCAAAAUGGUCUUGCCAUUGGGGAGACUCAUGCGUGGCUCGGCUUGUGGGUCGGUGCUUCUGGUGGCCGGGGAUGCACCGUGACGUCAGGGAGUUUGUGGCAGCCUGUCCGGUCUGUGCAGCUUUCCCAUGCCCAGCUUCAUGGGAAACUCCUUCCUCUGCCUGUACCAUCUUGACCCUGGUCCCACAUAUCCCUGGAUUUCAUCACCGGGUUGCCGCCAUCGGAGGGCUGGCUCACUCAGGCUGACACACCUGCAGCAGAUCCAGAAUCGUUACCACCCAAUCACCAGCCUGCUAUAAAAGCCAGCAGCUCAGUUGCUCAAGAGACUGAGACCCAGCAACAUCUUAGUCCCACAGUAUGAUUUGUAAAAGACUUUUUCCUUUCAGUAAUCCUUGAUUUAUUAUUUUUAUUCUGGCCUGGAGAUGGCCAGCAGUCUUACUUUUCAUUUAGCUUUAGUUUAUUAUUUGGUUUUGUCAGGGAGGGAGGGGGGGCCAGCUUUGACGUCCCUAUAGGGGGUGGCCUGGGCUCCCCUCCAUUUUGCUGAGUUUGGCUGGCAUCUCCAGGUCGCUUUUGGUUUGCUGAUUCUUUAUUUGGUAAGGUAUUUAUAUUAUACUCUAAUUUUGUUUUUUCUUCAAGAAUAUUCAUUUCCCUGUGGGAAGAGUUGAUUUAAUAAAACUAGUUAAAACGUUCUAUUUUCUGGUGUCCUUUUAUGUUGAGGUCUCCAAUUUGAGCCACUGUUUGAUUUAUUUAAUUGUUUGGAGGCCGUAACAUAAUGGGGGCUCGUCAAAACAUUUGGGAUUUACUUUGUCCACCUUAAUUAAAUUGAUUGGUCUAUCUUUUGUUUGCAAAAAAAAAAGAAAAUAUCAGUACUUUAUUUCAGUA